rnacentral:rRNA from 1 species
GAUGAACGCUGGCGGCGUGCCUAAUACAUGCCAGUCGAGCGAACAGACGAGGAGCUUGCUCCUCUGAAGAUAGCGGCGGACGGGCGAGUAACACAUGGAUAACCUACCUAUAAUACUGGGAUAACUUCGGGAAACCGGAGCUAAUAACGGAUAAUAUAUGGAACCGCAAGGUUCAAUAGUUAAAAACGGUUUUGCUGUCAAUUAUAGAUGGAUCCGCACCGUCUUAGCGAGUUGGUAAGGUAACGGCUUACCAAGGCGACGAAGCGUAGCCGACGUGAGAGGAUGAUCGGCCACACUGGAACUGAGACACGGUCCAGACUCCUACGGGAGGCAGCAGUAGGGAAUCUUCCGCAAUGGGCGAAAGCCUGACGAAGCAACGCCGCGUGAGUGAAGAGGGUCUUCGGGUCGUAAAGCACUAUUAUGGGGGAAGAAAACAUGCUCCAUUUCCUAUGCACGUCUUGACGGUACCUAAGCAGUAAGCCACGGCUAACUACGUG